GGAGCACAUAUCGUGAAGAGAAUCCCACGCAUCAAAUUUCCUCAACGACACGCAAAAGCUUCUUCUGGUUCCAUGCAGCAGAACUCACAACACAUGAAAACUUCCGCAACUGAUGAUGUUCCUCAAACAUUCUUCUCAAGAUCCCCAUCUAGCACGUCUGUUGCAGGGAAGGCUUCUGACCAACCUAAAAGAACACCGGUGUCUCAGGAGGAAAUUGAGUCCAUUUUGUUAGGUGGCUGCAACUAAUUUUGAGGCGAAGAUGUGCAGACAGAGGACAUAGUUUUUCGACGUCUGGCUUACAUUUGGGUGAUUUCUUUUGCAUGUAUGGUAUAACUGACACAGUUUUCUGGAAUUAUAAGUGUAUUCUGCAAAUGACAUCUUUAAUUAAUGAUCAUUAGACAUUGGAGGCUAAUGCGUGGAUUGGCU
rnacentral:misc_RNA from 1 species